AAUCAACGCUGGCGGCGCGCUUAACACAUGCAAGUCGAACGAGAAAGGGAGCAAUCCUGAGUAAAGUGGCGUACUGGUGAGUAACACGUGGAUAUCUACCUCUUGGUGGGGAAUAACCUGGGGAAGCCUGGGCUAAUACCGCAUAAGUUCGUGAGAAGAAAGGCGCAAGUCGCCGAGAGAGGAGUCCGCGGUCGAUUAGGUAGUUGGCAGGGUAAAAGCCUACCAAGCCGAAGAUCGAUAGCCGGCCUGAGAGGGCACACGGCCACACUGGCACUGAAACACGGGCCAGACUCCUACGGGAGGCAGCAGUGGGGAAUCUUGCACAAUGGGGGGAAACCCUGAUGCAGCGACGCCGCGUGAGCGAUGAAGCCCUUCGGGGUGUAAAGCUCUUUCGGCGGGAACGAUAAUGACGGUACCU
rnacentral:rRNA from 1 species